UUGUUUUGGGGUUGGGAAUUCCGGAAUUUCCCAUGGGAAUUUUUCCCAAAUUUUGGGGAUUUUGGGAUUGGAGCUUUUUGUGCCUGAGGCUGAAAAUUUCGGGAUUCUCAUGGAAAAUUUUCCCAAAUUUUGGGGAUUUUGGGAUUGGAGCUCUUCACGCCUGGGGUUAGGAAUUCCGGGAUUCCCGAGGGAAUUUUCCCCAAUUUUGGAGAUUUUGGGGUUGCUUUGGGGCUGGGAAUUCCAGGAUUCCUGUGGGAAUUUUUCCCAAAUUUUGGGGAUUUUGGGAUCGGAGCUUUUCGUUCCUGAGGUUGGGAAUUCUGGGAUUCCCGUGGGAAUUUUUCCCAAACUUUGGGGAUUUUGGGAUCAGAGCUCUUUGUGUUUGGGUUGGGAAUUCCAGGAUUCCAGCAGGAAUUCUUCCCAAAUUUCGGGGGAUUUUGGGGUCGCUUUGGGGUUGGGAAUUCCGGGAUUCCCGUGGGAUUUUUUCCCAAAUUUCACCAAUUUCGGGCUCAGAGCUCCUCGUGGGCGUCGCCGUCACGCCGGGGUUGGGAAUUUUGGGAUUCCCACAGGAAUUCUUCCCCAUCCCAAAUUUCGGGGGGCUGCGGGGGGGUGUCGGUGUCGCUGUCGGGGUG